rnacentral:tRNA from 1 species
UGGGCUGUAGCCAAGCGGUAAGGCACCAGACUUUGACUCUGGCAUUCGUUGGUUCGAACCCAGCCAGCCCAACCA